AAUUUAGAUUAUUUUUAGCUUUUUGUUUUAGUACUAUAAAUUGCUAUUUGCAUUUAGUUACUCAUAUAUCUAGUUUGCACUAGAACAGUAUAGGGCAUACUUCUUUAUUAACUUUUUAGAAUUUCUAGUCCCUCUGAAAUGAAUUCAAAUUUCUGGUGCAAGUUGAAGUUACACUUAGAGUGAAGUCAUAAGUCCUUUAAACUAGCAUUAAACAACCAGGAAACAUAGACUGCUCUUGACAGAGGUGUUGAGGAGACUGUGUUUUGUCCAUGUACCACAUAAAACCACACAGUCAAAUCCAAGACAAAUCCAGGGUAAUGUUCCUAAUGACUUAAUGGGAUCGGGAUUUCACAUUUGUGUAGGUCAAAGUCCCACCAGUAUUAAUGGUGAUACUGUUGGCAAGACCAAGCUGUUGAAACAAAACAUUACCAAAGCAAGACAAAAAUGUCAAGGUCUAUUAUGGCAAACUAGAAAUUAUAUUCUAAAUGAAUUUCAGUAUAUGAAGCAAGUUACUUCAAUAGUAAUUGGUAGAUGUGAUGGGAUAAAUGUAUCCCUGAAUACAAAAUUCAUACCUGAUCCUGAGGAAAGCUUGGAUAUUCAGGUUCCACUGUGACUCACUGCCAGGCAGCGUCCUGCCCAGGGAGUACCCCCUGCAAGCUCUCCUGAACAUUGCGUGUCCUGGUCCAGUCAGCAUGUCACAGUUACAAAAGGGUUCUAAUAGCAGAUGUUCUAAUAGGAAAUAUUCAUAGACGCAGUCUGGAUGACUGAAUUUCAGCUUGAUUGUGAGCUUUGCCUGUCUAAAUUACAGACAAUGGAGUAAUUAUUGGAAUACUUUUUGUAUGCCUUAACAAAGAUGGUAAAAUGUUAUUUUACACGUACCUUUGGCAAGAACUUUUUUCCUAUUUGUAAUUACACAUAGUCAAAGCAAUUUUCUUGUAUAUCUAUGAUAAUCUAUGAGAAGUUUUAGUAGUAAAAAGAACAUAACCCCUAAAAUAACGCCCCGUUUUUUUAUGAGGUAUACCUUUGGGGACCCUUUGAAUCUGCAACAAAGAAAAACAGCUGCUUCGGUUCUAAUCCAUGAACAAGACAAGUCUUAUUUGCUGCUGCAGUUAAUCAGUACAGUGAAUUUGUUUAUCUAACCAUGCAUGGUGAACAAGAGGACCACUAAUGCAGAAAGUUAGUGUUAGUCUAUCAAGACUUUCAGUUCUUAGAAAUGUGUUAUAUGGGCUUCAUAUAAAAUCUUGUUGAUUUGAAAAUGUUCUGUUUGCUAAAUGGGUAGUUUUGUUUUUAUAGCUACAGUAAAAAAAUUAUAUACAUAUUAGUUCAGUUUGCCUUGAGAAAAUUCAUAGUCAUCCACGAACCAUAUGGCUUUCUUACCUCUAGUAAAGAAAUAGCUCUUUGCAUGGCAGAUACAGUAUGUCAACAGCUAUAAUCAAAUAUAAGUAGCAGUGGGCAUGGAUGAAUCAGAAUCUGUUUUAAAGCAGACCUGUUGGAGACCACAACUUCUCAUAUUUCAGUCCGUAUAUAUCUCCAUUAUAGAAUUAUAUUUCCCGGAACAGAUUAUAGUUCACCACAUCUACUUUCUGUUGGAGAGGCCAAAAUGAUUCAUUAAAGUAAAAUAACUACUCUUCCCAUGAUAUUUAUUUAGGAAAUGUCAAGUAGCAGUUUAUUCAUUUAGUACAUGCUCAGUUAUGAUGAGAGGAUGGAAAUGAUUGCAGUUAGAUUUCUCAAUCAGUGUUUCCACACAUGCAUAUAUAUUUGGUCUCACUUUGCUUUUAUCUGUUUCUUACUGUACUUUCUUAAAUACUUCUUUUGUGCAUAAAAUUUACUUAUCUUCCAUGCAUUUUCAUUCCACAUUUGUCACAUUUCUCUGUCCUUGCUAGUUUUGAAAAUGAUCAGCAAAUAGCUUCCAAUAUGGCAUUGGCCUUAAGCCCUCUAAAUUUUUUUCUGGUUCUAUAAGUAUGUAUUCUUAUGAUCUAAAAAGACUUUCCACUUUUGAUAGUAAAAAUACAUCAGCAGUUAGCAGACAUACAUGAGGUAUACCACGGAUGAAGACUUUCAUCUCACAAAGGGAAUCAGUGUCUGUUAUCUUCAGUAGAUGCUGCAACCACUGUGUGUAGAUAAAGUAGAUAAACUGACAGUAAUGGAACAUGUCAAAAAUAUGACCAAAUACAUACAUAAAUCCAAUAAGACAGAAAUCAGUAGUUUAGAGAUUCAGACUGUACAUAUGCACAAAUAGCAGAAAGAGCUAAAGCAUAAACCAGGGCUUUCUAUAUCUCCCUGUCUUGGGUCCUUCAUAGCUGCUUCUUCUCCACUCAAAAUCCUUCCACCACUCUCAAUUUUGCAUCUUCCAUCUUAAAUAUUCUCUUUAAAAAGUGAAUUUGUUAUGUCAGAGGAAAGAAGAACAUCUUAGGGUUGUCAGAUUGACCUGAGCUCAGUCUCAACACAAAAAGUUCUUGCAAGUCAAAGUUUAUUCUAGGAAAUGUAAAAUCUUAAUAAUGAUGUUGAAAGCAGUUAGGAAAGUGUAAAACUAAGACACACAAAGUUAGGGAGAAAUUGAACACCACUCUUGUGUAGUGGUCAUUUAAGGUGUUUCUGAUACAUAUUUCAUCUUGGAAGCUGAGAGGCUGCUCAAGCAGUGUUCAGCCUCUGAAGUGCUGCCUUUCAGAAGGAACAGCUCCUCUGCAUUGCCCUGGAGGGGCAGCAGGUCAGUACUGAGAAUAACAAUUCAAAAUAUUUUUUAUUAUCUUUCUUCUUUAAUUUAGGGGAUACUGUAUUUUCAAUAAUCCCUAAGGUGUGGGGAGAAUGCAAAUUAAUUGUUUAAGCUUGUCCAGAAUCUAAUUUCCCUUAGCAUGCCAGGUUUUUCUAAUGCAUUGAUUUCCUACAUGAAAUUUAUUUUUCUGCACUGGAGGUCAACUACAUUAGUUUCCUCUGAUUCUUUGCUUCUUGACAGUAUGACUUGUAAUGUGAAACUUUUAAAUACCUUAAUAAUGUUAUGCAAAUUAGAUACCAUAAGAUAUCUCCAAAGUCUCCAGCAAUUCUCCUUCUUUCGUAACUGGAUAGACUGGUGACUUUUCAUAGAAAACAUACAAGAUAUUAUUAAUGAUGCGGAUAAUCAACUUAGCCUUAGCCUUAAAGGAAACUUCGUCCAAACCAUUUCACUCUUUUGUGUCAUUUUUAGAGCUCGUGCAGCUGCAGAAAUAUAGAAGAAGGCUAUUGUAUUAUUCUGUGCUUUAUUGGCAAUGAGGAGUAGAACGAACUUCCCAGCUUUCACACCUGCCUUCCAGUUUCACAAGUAGCCUAUAAAAAUAACCUGAACAAAUCGCUUCAAUUGCCACAAGUGGGAGGUUAUUUUUUAACCUCUUUUUUCCCCCCCCUGAAUGGCAGACAGUAGUGAGAGAAUCUCAAGUAGUUACUACUCCUUUUAUUUCUUAUAAGGAUAAAACCCAGAGGAUCUUCCACCUUCACUUCCUUAUUGAUUUACGACUUAAUGAGUCAUUGGGAUGUAAAGCUACAGAGCAUAAACGCUCUUAUCCUAUCGAAUUUGUCUAAACAGAGUCCAAGUAAGAUAAAAGACAACACUUUUGCUUCAUUCAUGCAGAGUGAAAGUCUUUCCAAAGAGCAUCAGUGUAAGGCGACCUUUAUCCUCUGUGCAACAGCAGAUUUCACUUAAAUGAACAAAUAUAUUCUUUAGUUUUAGAGUUUGAUAACAAUUAUCUUCCCUGAUGAGCAGAAAGGAGGACAAAGCUUGCUUUUAUUCCUUUGAUUUACUUCCCUUGAUAGUGCAGCCUUUCAAAUCCUGCGUAGUUGAAGCUACAAGAAGAAUCUGGGCCUUUUUUUGAUGCUAGAAAAGGAAAUGAAAAAGCACAACCAAGUGUCUUGAAGAGUGUGUCUGUCUGAAUUCUUUUUCAUACCUUUAACCAGGCUUCCUCAUGAUAAUGCAACGUAGAGGUAAUAAUAUGUAGACUUAAUAAUGUUAAUUUUUUUUUAAUUGGGCUGUGAAAACCAUCACAGCAAGAAGAUGUUGUGUAUCAGUAAGAACUAUUAAUAUCCUCUAGCUGGGAGGACGAUGGGCUCCCAUUCGUAAGAAUGACAUGAACUUCACCUUCCCUCUGGAGGAGACUUCAAGCCCUUCUGAUGUUUCCAGCCCUUUCUGGCUGCAGGACAUGAAACUGAUCUUUUCUUUGAUGGCAACUUGUGGCUUUGUUAUGCAGCAUCUGGCCUGGUUUUUGGCUAUUUUGGGAUUAUCCAUGCCAUAAUGUUUUACUUAAAGAGCACAAGAAGCAAAGUAUUCUUGGCAGCCAGGCUCUUCCUGUGUGAAUUCGCUUCUGAAAGACAUCAAUGUGAUCAUUAGUCUUGCUGCUUUCUUUUUUUUUUGAGCAAAACAUAAAAACUUGCAGCCUUGUCCACCCUUUGUAAAUAUGUCCAGCUUUUGUAAUCACUACCACUGGUGAAAUAUCAUCUGAAAGAUUUGCAAGAACUACAGAAAUAAACAACAAUGUAUAUGCAUGGAAGAUGUCUCCAUUAGGAAGGAAUGAUGGGUAUACUGAAAUAUUUUUCCAUAAAAACUUCUCAGUGCAUUUCCUUUAAAACUGUAUCCAUGAAAAUUUACUUGAACUGUCCAGUACUACUGUUUCUUUGGCUGUGGUUAUUAAUCCUGUGUAGUUUGAUCUAGAGGAUUUCCUGAUAUUCUUUUUAAUUGAUUGAUUUUUCAUGUAUUGUUUUAACACAAAUCUGUUUCAACCUAUAUACCUUCUAGAAAAAUUGAUUGUAUAUAUAAACAACAACUUGUGAUUACACUCAAGCAUUUAUAUAUGUUCCACAAAGGAGAAUGGAGAAAGAGGUAAGAUUGCAGACCAAACAGUAACUUUUCAACAUCUUUAGUAUCCUUAGAUUUCACAGAAAUUUUAAGAGUAAUUUAAAUAUUUCCACUGGAAAAAAAAAAAAAGCUAAAAGAAGUGAUUAAAGUAUAAUAAAACAAAAAAAGUAGAAAGUCAGAAGAUAAUAUAGAAUUUAUGAUACUGAGCAAUAGUGAAUUAGUAUUCAUAUAGUCAUUAUGAAAAUGACACUAAUUGCCUGUGUGCAAAUUUAAGCUGUUAGUUGCUCAGACUUCAGCUUAUUUGUAUCUAGGUUUCACAAAUUAGUGUAUUUCCUGGUGAAAAGCAGCCAUCUGAUAUAUUGGAAAUGUUUUAAUUCAUCUGUUUGGGUUAUGGUUGAUCAAGAAAGGCUUUGCUACUGAACUCAGACCCAGUUUUUAGGUGCCAGCUGGUAAAGCCAUCCCUAAGCACACACCUUGCUGUAAGCAGGGGUUUAGGUUUUAGCAUCACAUUUUCAGUUCUUUUCACUGUAGCCUUCCACAGAAGGAAGGCUUAAAUGUAUUAACUCUUUGAGCAAAAUGUGCUUAAAAAAAAAGAAAUCACCCAAUUUUGAAAGAGCUAGUAUGGCCAUUUUCAAGUCUCAAAGAUCAAAAACUGCCUACAAGAAAAACUGUAUUUUUGGCUUCUCUGUGUUGUUUAUGAGCAAAUAAUCCAUGUUCCAAUUUUUUUUGUAAUGGAAAACUAGAAAACAACAUUUUCUUUCUGUUCUUGCUUCUGUCAGAAAAGUAGCCAAAUGCCCCAGGAUACUGGGCUGGGACAUAUGCUUUACUGAUGGCUGAAGAGAGAGCAUCACCAAGUUAUUUUCCCCAGAUUUUGCCGUCCCCUUUGUUUGACAGUCUCCCCUUCCAUCAGUGACCACUGGAGGUGUGCCAGGUGCCUGAGACCAACAGAACAUCCCAUGGGAUGCCAUAGCAGCACUUGCCCUGCCUCUGAAUUGCUGGUGAACAUUAUCUCCUUUGGGGCUUGUGGCCAACUGUAAAUUACCUGCAAGAGGGCAAAUCCAUUUUUCUGUGAUGUCAUUGAGUUGUCCAUCUCUCUGAACUUGCUGUGAGCUGCUGCAGUCACUGGCAUGAUGGGAAUUACUGGAGUAUUUUGGACCAUUCCUCUGCUGGCAUCAGAGAAACCUGAAGGAUGUGCCUGGAAGGGAAGGGGCACUUGAAGAUCUCUGCCUUCUCCAUCCAAGAUGAUGUCUUCAGGCCAUAGUAAUGCUGAGCAGCAUAUCACAUUUUGCUAUCAAAUCACAAUUACAAGCUUGAAGGCUUGUCCCCAUGGCUGGGACACUGACCUCCCUGCAGGUUGCAGCGUUUGGGAAAAGCGCAGUCAGCAAUCCUCUCUGCUCCUCUCCAGUAAAGACCGAGAAGGGGGACAGAUUUAGUGUUUGUCCUGAACAGGGCUGCAUGUGCUUUUCCAUCAUUUUUAGAAAUUUCCUUUGGAAGAGCUGACAGUGCAUGAUCUAUUUUAAAUAUGCUUCAGAAGAUAAAAUUAUUUCUGGUCUAAGUGAAAUCAAUAAGCAGUUUUAAAUAUAAGAUAUGGUUUAAAUAAGCUAAAAAAUAUCCAGUGACCCUCUGUAUAUAUUGGAUGUGUCAGGCCUGCUAUGACAACCUUUAUUAGCUAAUUAAUAGCCCCUUACUAAGCAGCUUACUAAAACCAACAAACCUCACUCUGAAGUCCUUCAAAGGCAUGAGUAGUAAAGGUGCAGGUGUGGUGUUGCCUGCUUUAUCCUGGGGUACCUGUUCCUCAAAGUCCUGGACCUUGUUCUCUCUGGCUUCUCCUUGUGUGCAUCAGGAAGUUUUCCCAAGGCUGGUCUGUGUAGCCCAUCACAAAGUCAGGUGCUGGUAAAUCCCAGUUUACAACUUCCUCGUCUGUGCUGUUACAAACUCCUCUGUCCUGGCACUGCACGCCUGAGCUCCACACUGAGGUGUAUAAAGUGACACUCCUGCUUUGCCUUGUGGAAAUCACCCUUCCUCUGUCCCUGCUCUCACAGUCAAAGCUCUCAGAGUGGAUUGGAUGUUCCAAACAGAGAAGCAUUCUUAAGUUCCUUAUAAAAAUUAAUGUAGCUCUCCCAUGCUAGCAUUUUCCCCCUUAGUGCCCUCUCUUGGCUGUCUUCUUGCCUACCAUUAUAAUUCUGAUGUUGGUACUUUCAUUUGCUAUAUUGCAUAUUUUCUGAAAUAAAUAAGAACAUUGCUUACAUUUGUGAAUAA